AUCCAUCCUCCUUCCACGCCAGAGGCCCAGGGCUUCUUUUUCAUUAACGUCUUCUUCUCUUUUCUUCUUUUCUCAUUUGCUAGAUCUAAAUCUCUCUCUUCUCUUCUUUCUCCCAACUACCCAAGGUUAAUCCCUUCUUCUUGGUUUCAAGAUUUGUUUAUUCACCUUUAUGUUUUGUUGGUAUUUUAUCUAGCUUUCUAUUUACUAAUGGUUAAGACAUGAUAUUAUUUGCAGACCGUUUUGACAUAAACUUAUGUUUGUUCUCUUUUAUCUUUGCUGCUAUUUUAUCUCUCUUUAUAGUUAGUAAUGGUUAACUCUUGAUAUUAUUUGCAGAUUAUUUGUACAGAAAUUUAUCUCGAAUUUUGUUCUCACUUUUAUCGAAUUUUCCUCAUAAUAGUCCUUUACGUUUAUCCGGAGCGAUGAGCCUUGCAACAAUAUUCUCUCUUUCAUCUUCCUUUCUUUUGAUAUAUUUUAUCCAGUAAAUUUUAAUUUAUAUAUACCUUAUGAAGCAGCAACAUGGUUAAAUGUUGAUAUUAUUUGCAGAUUAUUUGGACAGAAGUUUAUCUACGUUUUGCUCCUUAGAUGACUUGGACCAUGAGCAAGUAAUUGGCUUAAUCCAAAUAUUUGACUUUUAUUGCAUUUUAUUCUAGAAUUGACUUUUCAUUUUUUAUUGCCGAUAGGGUUUAUGAAUUGCAAUUACUUUUAUUACAUGUUCUUUGUGAAUGAAUGAAAUUUUCCUUUGAUUGCCUAUUUACGUAGAUUCUUUAUUUCUUCUUGAUUUUCUCAUCCUCUUUAAUUUUUUAGGAUUAGUUUGUUCUCUUUCCUAUUUUAAUGCGGUAGUAAGAACGCGCAGGUAAAUUACUAACCACCAUGCUUACUAUCCUUACAAAGGCAGAGGUGUGAAUUAUCUUCUUAAUUCACAUGGCUUCAUCCUGUUAAUGUGGAACUCCUCCUUUUUGGUGUGUUAAUACUCUUUACGGAUCUAAUUUAUCUUUUCUUUCUUUUUUUAAUCUUUCUACCUUUUUUUGCUUUAUGUUAUUUAUAAAAUUAAAAAUAAAAGUAGUCAUUAUUAAAAACACCAACAGUCUUAUUGAAGAAGACUAGACGGUAGUCAAAACAUAGCCAAGCCCAGACCCAACUGAAAAGUUUUUGUCAAACGAAACCAAAUUGCUGUGUUUUUAGUAUGUCCUUUACAAGCUUCUUACGGUCUUAUGGUUUAUUCAGAAUAUGAAUUAUUCCAUCAACAAAUUGAGACGUGAAGUUACACGUUAGAGUUGAUGUCAUGAAACAAUCAAAAUUGAUCUCAUCGUACAAGAACUCAACAAACUAAUCUCUUUUUUUCUACAGUUUUGCUCUACUCAGGAAGAGAGGAGUGCUAUUAAGUAUCACUUAUUCAGUAUGAGAGCUAAGUGAAGAAAAAGGGUAUGUAAAGGUUAAAUACUAAAUUCAAUAAGUUGGUUUAGAACAAUCAAAUCAUUUACUGAAAAUGGCUUGAAUUAUCAGCUUUGUUUGGGUUCUCUUCUUCCUUCUUUUAAAUUAAAGUGGUGAACAUUUUGUUUGGUCUAAGAGUAAGUGAGGUAGAAUACAAC
rnacentral:lncRNA from 1 species